rnacentral:ncRNA from 2 species
UUAACCCAAGCUAAUAGAACUCAGCGUAAAGAGUGUUUAAGAUCUGCCCUCAAUAAAGCUAAACUCCAUUUAAGUUGUAAAAAACUUAGGCUGAAAUAAAACAUACUACGAAUGUGGCUUUAAUAUCCUGAAGACACGACAGCUAAGAUCCAAACUGGGGUUAGAUACCCCACUAUGCUUAGCCCUAAACUAUAAUAGUUAUAUUAACAAAACCAUUCGCCAGAAUACUAGAAGCAAUAGCUUAAAACUCAAAGGACUUGGCGGUGCUUUAUAUCCCUCUAGGGGAGCCUGUUCUAUAAUCUAUAAACCCCGAUCUACCUCACCACCUCUUGCCCCCAGCCUAUAUACCGCCAUCUUCAGCAAACCCUAAAAAGGUUAUAGAGUAAGCACAAGUAAUACACAUAAAAACAUUAGGUCAAGGUGUAGCUCAUGAGGUGGGAAGAAAUGGGCUACAUUUUCUAUACCCAGAAAAUCUCACGACAACCUUUAUGAAAUCAAAAGACUCAAGGAGGAUUUAGCAGUAAACCAAGAGUAGAGUGCUUGGUUGAAUAAGGCCAUGAAGCACACACACACUGCCUGUCACCUUUCCAAAUACUAUUCUAGAAAUCCCUAUUACUAAAAUCUCUCUACACACGUAUAGAGGAGAUAAGUUGUAACAUGGUAAGCAUACUGGAAAGUGCAUUUGGACAAACCAAAGU